rnacentral:lncRNA from 1 species
CAAAAACUGCCACAGAUGCACUCUGUGCAUUGAAAGAGUCAAGCCUGAGAAUCAUCUGGCAUGUGCAGUGUUGUUAAGGCAGAAGUGCUUGGCAGAGCUGCUGGAUGGAGCUUUGUUCAUAUGAAAAUGUCUACAGGCUCUCAAACAUCUAUACAGUACACAGAGACCCCAGCAAACAGCCCCAAGUGUGCUUCUCACUUCUUAUGAGCAGCUGGCUCCUCUUAAAGAGAAACUCCGGUUUAGAAUUAAGGCUGUUACUUAAAUAUAGCUAAAUGAUAGUUAAAACUGCAACUCAUAUAUAAGUAAGGAACAACACCAAGCCCAAAACAAAAGUCACAACAGAGGAUCCAUAACGCUGUACAGAACACCACAUUGGUAGGUAGAAUGCCAUCUUGUGAGCAACCACUGCAAUUUUCCCUGCACAAAUCAGCAUGGAACUAUAAAGGAGAUACCAGAUGUGGGAAAGGCAAUAAGGCAGAGAUCUCAAGAAUUGCACGAGCCUUUGUCACACUGUAAAGUUAUCAGCAGCCUCUUAUUUCCACGAGAAGAUGUGAGACACAUCCAAGCAAAAAAAAGACACCAGAAAGAGGAAGUGGUGCAGUGCUAUUUUGUGCACAAAAGAACACAAAGCACAUUGCCGUGCUGUCAAGCUGACAAAAUGAACUGACUGGAUAGAAAAGACAGGCUGUACAUUCCCAUCUGCCAUCAGAACAUGAACGCUGACAGAAAACAGUAAGAAACAGGGAGAAGAAAUGAAACGUGAAUGAAAUCUGCAGAACCAGAACAACAAAAACUCACCUCUGUGAGAGCUUUAUCCAGACUGGCAGCCAGCUUACCAAUGUCAUACAGAAGCUGAGUAGGUGCAGCAAUUUUAGCCACAGGUGUGCCCGGCAGUGCACAGAUGUGUCUGUUUUUUCAAGUGAUAUGGGAGCUGUUUGCAGAGUUAAGCAUUCCUCUCCUUCAUUUGCUCAGCUGCUGGCACGUGAAGUUUGGACUUUUACAGGCACAGUCACCUGACACGGAUCCAUCCAUCCCCUACCAGCUACACUGCAACCUGAGGUUCUACUUUUGGCUACACUGCAACCUGAGGUUCUACUUUUGAUAGCCAAAUUUAACCUCAAUUUUGGAUACUCCUUCUGUGCAAUUUUGUCACCACUACAACUGGUGCUGCAUCUAGAUUACCAACCUAAAACACCUUUGAAUCAGUAGACCCAGGAAACCUACCAGGGCAAUUGAACUGAAAAAACAGCUGCAGGAUAACCCGCCCUUCCCUAUACUUGCAGUUCUCACUAAAACAACCAUCUUCCCACUAGCAAAACCAGCAGCGAGCCAUCCUGCACCAUACCUCAAAGCCCACACCCACAGGUGCUUGCUGCAGUGCAUGCAUCUCACCAGCACUGCUGCUCUUAGGCUGCUGAAGGUCCAGCAUCUCUGUGGGCUUUUCUGCACUACGCCGUGCAUUUGAUGGAGCUCAGCUCUGGCAUUCUCAGCACAGCAUCUGUGCACCCUGAAGUUACUCCUUCUAGCUCAACAGCUGAAAGGGAGGUGUGCAAUGGAUUGGGAGCUAUAGAAGUGCCAGAGCUGCAGUGCAGUGCUGCAGCUCCUCACCUCCCUCCUGCACAGACAUGAUGCCGCCGUCCUUCGUGAGCCGCGGUGUAGCUGAGGGGAAGCCGUGGGCGCUGAGGAACACCAUGGCCCGGGUCUGCGCCUCGAUGAGGGCGGGCUGCUGGCUGUCUUCUGAGUUGGUGAUUUUGAGGACGUACUCCUCGGCCCCUUCAGCCUCACCUCCGUCUGAGACCUUCACGUGGAAGUUCUGAUCGUCGUAGCUGGGCAGGGGCCUGACCCACACCGCCUUUAACCCGAACACCUUGUCCACCAGCUCGGCCGCCUCCUCCUCGCCGAACGCCGGCUUGGUGGCUGCCUGCGGCUGGCGACGGUCUCCAGAAGCCAUCGCGUCUGUGAGAGAAAGACAGAGACUAGAAGAGGUGAGCCGUGCCGUGACACCAGCAGCGAUAACGGUCGCAACAAACAAACCAACAAACAAAC